GCAGAGGUAGUUUAAGUAAAAUGCUAGAUUGUGAUUCUAAAGACAGAAGUUAAACCCUUCUCCCCUGCC
rnacentral:tRNA from 1 species